GCUUAUCACCAUUCCAGAUUGAAUAUACCCGAUCUCGUCUGAUCUCGGAAGUCAAGCAAUCUCGGGCUUGGUUAGUACUUGGAUGGGUGACCGCUUGGGAAUACCAAGAAAGAUAAGCA
rnacentral:rRNA from 1 species